GAAGGGGGCUAGCGUUGUUCGGAAUUACUGGGCGUAAAGCGCGUGUAGGCGGUUGUCCAAGUUGGAUGUGAAAGCCUUGAGCUUAACUCAAGAAAUGCAUUCAGGACUGGAUGACUAGAGGACCGGAGAGGAUAGUGGAAUUCCCAGUGUAGUGGUGAAAUACGUAGAGAUUGGGAAGAACACCAGUGGCGAAGGCGGCUAUCUGGACGGUUUCUGACGCUAAGACGCGAAAGCGUGGGGAGCAAACAGGAUUAGAUACCCUGGUAGUCCACGCCGUAAACGAUGGGUGCUAGACGUUGGCGAGCUUGCUCGUCAGUGUCGCAGCUAACGCGUUAAGCACCCCGCCUGGGGAGUACGGCCGCAAGGUUG
rnacentral:rRNA from 1 species